GAUCAUGGCUCAGGACGAACGCUGGCGGCGUGCUUAACACAUGCAAGUCGAACGGGGCAUAGAGAUAUGCCUAGUGGCGGACGGGUGAGUAACACGUGAGCAACCUAUCCUAUACAACGGGAUAACACAGAGAAAUUUGUGCUAAUACGGUAUAAGACCACACUCCGGCAUCGGAGAGGGGUAAAAGCUGAGGCGGUAUAGGAGGGGCUCGCGGCCCAUUAGCUAGUUGGAGAGGUAACGGGCU
rnacentral:rRNA from 1 species